rnacentral:rRNA from 1 species
UACGGGGGGGGGCAAGCGUUGUUCGGAUUUACUGGGCGUAAAGGGCUGGUAGGCGGCCAACUAAGUCCGACGUGAAAUCCCAAGGCUUAACCUUGGAACUGCGUCGGAUACUGGAUGGCUUGAAUUCGGGAGAGGGAUGCGGAAUUCCAGGUGUAGCGGUGAAAUGCGUAGAUAUCUGGAGGAACACCGGUGGCGAAGGCGGCAUCCUGGACCGAGAUUGACGCUGAACAGCGAAAGCUAGGGGAGCAAACGGG